CAAAGGUUUGGUCCUGGCCUUCUUAUUAGUUUUUAGUGAGCUUACACAUGCAAGUAUCCGCGCGCCAGUGAAAAUGCCCUUCAAAUCAUUACUGACCAUAAAGGAGCGGGUAUCAAGCACACACCUAUGUAGCUCACAACACCUUGCUUAGCCACACCCCCACGGGAUACAGCAGUGAUAAAAAUUUAGCCAUAAACGAAAGUUUGACUAAGCUACGCUAACACAGGGUUGGUAAAUUUCGUGCCAGCCACCGCGGCCAUACGAUUAACCCAAAUUAAUAAGCAUCGGCGUAGAGCGUGUUUAGGAGUCGACACACAAAUAAAGUUAAAUUAAAUCUAAGCCGUAAAAAGCUAAGGAUUAGACAAAAAUAACCCACGAAAGUGACUUUACCAGCUCUGAAUACACGAUAGCUAGGACACAAACUGGGAUUAGAUACCCCACUAUGCCUAGCCCUAAACCUCAAUGGCUGCUAACAAAGCCAUUCGCCAGAGAACUACUAGCAAAGGCUUAAAACUCAAAGGACUUGGCGGUGCUUUACAUCCCCCUAGAGGAGCCUGUCCCAUAAUCGAUAAACCCCGAUAAACCUCACCACCACUAGCUAAUUCAGCCUAUAUACCGCCAUCUUCAGCCAACCCUUAGAAGGUCCAAAAGUGAGCUCGAUCAUAACCAUAAAAAAGUUAGGUCAAGGUGUAGCCCAUGUGGUGGUCCAAGAUGGGCUACAUUUUCUCUCAGAGAACAAUCAAACUAACGGACGUUAUUAUGAAAUAAAUGACUAAAGGAGGAUUUAGUAGUAAAUUAAGAUCAGAGAGCUUAAUUGAAUUAGGCCAUGAAGCACGCACACACCGCCCGUCACCCUCCUCAAAUACCCAUAAUUAUCUUACCACAAACAAUUUUAAUAACGUAUGAGAGGAGACAAGUCGUAACAAGGUAAGCAUACUGGAAAGUGUGCUUGGAUCACU
rnacentral:ncRNA from 1 species